rnacentral:rRNA from 1 species
GCUUAUCACCAUUCCAGAUUGAAUAUACCCGAUCUCGUCUGAUCUCUUAAGUCAAGCAAUCUCGGGCUUGGUUAGUACUUAGAUGGGUGACCGCUUGGGAAUACCAAGUGUGAUAAGCA